CAGGUGUGAAAUCCCCGGGCUUAACCUGGGAAUGGCAUUUGUGACUGCAUAGCUAGAGUGUGUCAGAGGGGGGUAGAAUUUCCACGUGUUGCUGUGAAAUGCGUAGAGAUGUGGAGGAAUACCGAUGGCGGAGGCAGCCCCCUGGGAUAACUCUGACGCUCAUGCACGAAAGCGUGGGCAGCAAACCGGAUUAGAUACCUUGGUAGUCCACGCCCUAAACGAUGUCUACUAGUUGUCGGGUCUUAAUUGACUUGGUAACGCAGCUAACGCGUGAAGUAGACCCCCUGGGGGGUACGGUCGCAAGAUUAAAACUCAAAGGAAUUGCCGGGGAACCGCACAAGCGGUGGAUGAUGUGGAUUAAUUCGAUGCAACGCGAAAAACCUUACCUACCCUUGACAUGUACAGAAUCCCGAAGAGAUUUGGGAGUGUUCGAAAGAAAACUGUAACACAGGUGCUGCAUGGCUGUCGUCAGCUCGUGUCGUGAGAUGUUGGGUUAAGUCCCGCAACGAGCGCAACCCUUGUCAAUAGUUGCUACGAAAGGGCACUCUAAUGAGACUGCCGGUGACAAACCGGAGGAAGGUGGGGAUGACGUCAAGUCCUCAUGGCCCUUAUGGGUAGGGCUUCACACGUCAUACAAUGGUACAUACAGAGGGCCGCCAACCCGCGAGGGGGAGCUAAUCCCAGAAAGUGUAUCGUAGUCCGGAUUGUAGUCUGCAACUCGACUACAUGAAGUUGGAAUCGCUAGUAAUCGCGGAUCAGCAUGUCGCGGUGAAUACGUUCCCGGGUCUUGUACACACCGCCCGUCACACCAUGGGAGCGGGUUUUACCAGAAGUAGGUAGCCUAACCG
rnacentral:rRNA from 1 species